CCCCCCUGGGGAAUGGGCAAAGAGACCCCUUGGUGGUGGUGGUAUUCUUACAUCAGUCAGGGGCAGAGCAGAUGGCGGUCCUUUGUUCAUCCUAGCUUCAUGCCUGGCUUGGUGGUCAAAGCUGUCUUAUGUCUAGUACAUAUAA